rnacentral:rRNA from 1 species
GACAGAGGUGCCGAGCGUUAGGCGGAAUCACUGGGCUUAAAGCGUGUGUAGGCGGGUCCGUAAGUACCCUGUGAAAUCCCAUGGCUCAACCAUGGAACUGCUUGGUAUACUGCGGAUCUUGAGCCACCUAGGGGCAAGUGGAACAAACGGUGGAGCGGUGAAAUGCGUAGAUAUCGUUUGGAACGCCAAUGGUGAAAACAACUUGCUGGGGGUGUGCUGACGCUGAGACACGAAAGCCAGGGGAGCAAACGGG